rnacentral:rRNA from 1 species
AACGAACGCUGGCGGCAUGCCUAACACAUGCAAGUCGAACGAGACCUUCGGGUCUAGUUGCGCACGGGUGCGUAACGCGUGGGAACCUGCCCUUAGGUUCGGAAUAACUCCCCGAAAGGGGUGCUAAUACCGGAUAAUGUCUUCGGACCAAAGAUUUAUCGCCUUUGGAUGGGCCCGCGUUGGUUGAGCUAGUUGGUAGGGUAAAAGCCUACCAAGGCGACGAUCCAUAGCUGGUCUGAGAGGCUGAUCAGCCACACUGGGACUGAGACACGGCCCAGACUCCUACGGGAGGCAGCAGUGGGGAAUAUUGGACAAUGGGCGAAAGCCUGAUCCAGCAAUGCCGCGUGAGUGAUGAAGGCCUUAGGGUUGUAAAGCUCUUUUACCCGGGAUGAUAAUGACAGUACCGGGAGAAUAAGCUCCGGCUAACUCCGUG